CUACGGGUGGCUGCAGUCGAGAAUCUUCGGCAAUGGACGAAAGUCUGACCGAGCGACGCCGCGUGCGGGAUGAAGGCCUUCGGGUUGUAAACCGCUGUCAGUUGGGAGGAAAUCACAUGGGGUUCUCCCCAUGUGUUGACCUAUCUUCAGAGGAAGGACGGGCUAAGUUCGUGCCAGCAGCCGCGGUAAGACGAACCGUCCAAACGUUAUUCGGAAUCACUGGGCUUAAAGGGUGCGUAGGCGGUGCUGUAAGUUGGGUGUGAAAUCCCUCGGCUCAACCGAGGAAUUGCGCCCAAUACUGCAGUACUAGAGGGAGACAGAGGUGAGCGGAACUUGUGGUGGAGCGGUGAAAUGCGUUGAUAUCACAAGGAACACCUGUGGCGAAAGCGGCUCACUGGGUCUCUUCUGACGCUGAGGCACGAAAGCUGGGGGAGCGAACGGGAUUAGAUACCCCGGUAGUC
rnacentral:rRNA from 1 species